UACGUAGGUGGCAGGCGUUGUCCGGAUUUACUGGGUGUAAAGGGCGUGCAGCCGGAGAGACAAGUCAGAUGUGAAAUCCACGGGCUCAACCCGUGAACUGCAUUUGAAACUGUUUCCCUUGAGUGUCGGAGAGGUAAUCGGAAUUCCUUGUGUAGCGGUGAAAUGCGUAGAUAUAAGGAAGAACACCAGUGGCGAAGGCGGAUUACUGGACGAUAACUGACGGUGAGGCGCGAAAGCGUGGGGAGCAAACAGG
rnacentral:rRNA from 1 species